GACGAACGCUGGCGGCGUGCUUAACACAUGCCAGUCGAACGGUGAAGCGCCUUCCUUUUUGGUGGGUGUGGAUGAGUGGCCAACGGGUGAGUAACACGUGAGUAACCUGCCCCCUUCUUCUGGAUAACCGCAUGAAAGUGUGGCUAAUACGGGAUAUUCUGGGUCUGUCGCAUGAUGGGUCUGUGAAAGAUAUUGUUUCGGUGGGGGAUGGGCUCGCGGCCUAUCAGCUUGUUGGUGAGGUGAUGGCCUACCAAGGCGGUGACGGGUAGCCGGCCUGAGAGGGUGGACGGUCACACUGGGACUGAGACACGGCCAAGACUCCUACGGGAGGCAGCAGUGGGGAAUAUUGCACAAUGGGCGCAAGCCUGAUGCAGCGACGCCGCGUGAGGGAUGGAGGCCUUCGGGUUGUGAACCUCUUUCGCCAGUGAAGCAGGCCUGCCUCGUUUGUGGGUGGGUUGACGGUAGCUGGAUAAGAAGCGCCGGCUAACUACGUG
rnacentral:rRNA from 1 species